AGAGUUUGAUCCUGGCUCAGGAUGAACGCUGGCGGUAUGCUUAACACAUGCAAGUCGAACGGGACUCUUCGGAGUUCAGUGGCGGACGGGUGAGUAACGCGUGAGAAUCUGCCUAAAGGACUGGGACAACAGCUGGAAACGGCUGCUAAUACCAGAUAUGCCAGAAAGUGAAAAGGGGUAACCCGCCUUUUGAUGAGCUCGCGUCUGAUUAGCUAGUUGGUAGGGUAAAGGCCUACCAAGGCAUCGAUCAGUAGCUGGUCUGAGAGGACGAUCAGCCACACUGGGACUGAGACACGGCCCAGACUCCUACGGGAGGCAGCAGUGGGGAAUUUUCCGCAAUGGGCGAAAGCCUGACGGAGCAAUACCGCGUGGGGGAGGAAGGCUCUUGGGUCGUAAACCUCUUUUCUCAGGGAAGAAAAAAAUGACGGUACCUGAGGAAUCAGCAUCGGCUAACUCCGUGCCAGCAGCCGCGGUAAUACGGAGGAUGCAAGCGUUAUCCGGAAUGAUUGGGCGUAAAGCGUCCGCAGGUGGCAAUUCAAGUCUGCUGUUAAAGGUCGGGGCUCAACCCCGAAAUGGCGGUGGAAACUGAAUAGCUAGAGUGCGGUGGGGGCAGAGGGAAUUCCUGGUGUAGCGGUGAAAUGCGUAGAGAUCAGGAAGAACACCGGUGGCGAAAGCGCUCUGCUAGGCCGCAACUGACACUCAUGGACGAAAGCUAGGGGAGCGAAUGGGAUUAGAUACCCCUGUAGUCC
rnacentral:rRNA from 1 species